AUUGCACGCUGGCGGCAGGCUUAACACAUGCAAGUCGAGCGAGCGGCGGACGGGUGAGUAAUGUCUGGUAAACUGCCUGAUGGAGGGGGAUAACUACUGGAAACGGUAGCUAAUACCGCAUACCAUCAGAUGUGCCCAGAUGGGAUUAGCUAGUAGGUGGGGUAAUGGCUCACCUAGGCGACGAUCCCUAGCUGGUCUGAGAGGAUGACCCGCCACACUAGAACUGAGACACGGUCCAGACUCCUACGUGAGGCAGCAGUGGUGAAUAUUGCACAAUGGGCGCAAUCCGGAUGCAGCCAUGCCGCGUGUAUGAAGAAGGCCUUCGGGUUGUAAAGUACUUUCAGCGAGGAGGCGUUACUCGCAGAAGAAGCACCGGCUAACUCCGUGCCAGCAGCCGCGGUAAUAC
rnacentral:rRNA from 1 species